AUAGAAAUGCUCCCACUUGGCCCAUUUUGCCCCCUCUCAAUAUUUUUCCUGGGACCACCCAUGCUUCCACUCGACUACUUGAGCAUUCACAAUCUUAGAGUAAAUUGCACAAAGACACACCUUUAUGGGAUGGAGUAAUAGAAAACCACAAGUCCAAUAUAUUUUAACAAAACCACAACUUCAAGAUUAGUGAGCAGAAAAAAAAAACAUACAGGCACAAGCUUAGUUUGCCAUCCAGUAUUGUUGAUGGAGGAUGUUUCUCCUUAUACAAGAGUAUGGCUGG
rnacentral:lncRNA from 1 species